rnacentral:rRNA from 1 species
GAUGAACGCUGGCGGCGUGCCUAAUACAUGCAAGUCGAGCGAACGGACGAGAAGCUUGCUUCUCUGAUGUUAGCGGCGGACGGGUGAGUAACACGUGGAUAACCUACCUAUAAGACUGGGAUAACUUCGGGAAACCGGAGCUAAUACCGGAUAAUAUUUUGAACCGCAUGGUUCAAAAGUGAAAGACGGUCUUGCUGUCACUUAUAGAUGGAUCCGCGCUGCAUUAGCUAGUUGGUAAGGUAACGGCUUACCAAGGCAACGAUGCAUAGCCGACCUGAGAGGGGUGUCGGCCCACCGGAAAUGGGAAAAGGGCCCAACCCCCAAGGGGGGGCGGCGUGGGGAAAUUUUCGCAAAUGGGGGAAACCCUACGGGGGAACGCCCGGGGAGUGAAUAAGGUCUUUGGGUUGGAAAAACCUUUUUUUUGGGAAAAAAAAAUUUGUAAAUAAAUUUGCCCCUUUUGGCGGGACCUAAUCAAAAAGCCCCCGCUUAACUCGGG